ensembl:lncRNA
GGUAGGUGUAGGUGAGGUGCUGCAGUAGAGGCCAGAUGUCCUCCCCAGGCGCUCGGCAGUAGUAUGCGUACAUGGUCUGAAGUUCAGGCGGCCGGCGUGGUUCCUGGGGCCUUGUCCUGGUCCAGACCUGGAGUAGGGGAGGUGGAUGCGCUUUGUUCUCAGGUCCACCGCAGAUCCUGGUGACUAGUAACGCAGGCCUUGGUUCACAGCAGGAGCCCCUGCGAUUGUGCCCCCGGCUUUGGGGAACUCUUCCUAAAGAGUUUGGCUACCAGGUCACCUCUUGUCCUAGGGCGGGACUCAAAGCCCAGGCUCCGAGCAGGCUAGAAGGACUCAAGGCCGUUUGAAGCCCCAGCCCUGAAAUGCCCUUUCAGGUAGCUCCCCACUCACUUGUCUCCUUUAGCCUCGGGGAGCUGACCCCCAGCAUUUGGAGGAACCAGAGAGAUCCAGGAGCAGGGCUCCUCUCCACCGCUUUUCAGUUGAUCUGCUGUUCUUCAUGCCCUGACUCGGCCACACCUCCUGGUUUCCAGGCAAAGGGAAACACCUUUACCUUGCCAGAAGCCAGCCAGUCUGUGUUUACACUGGGUGAACCUGCUGGAAUCAUGCUGGCCCCAACUUAGACACAACAUCCGUGAGGGUAUCCCAGUGCCCUUUGCAAUUAGGUUAGCUCUCUGUUAUCCACAUCCCGUUUUCCCAGUCAGAUGGAUUGAGUUAUCCAGCAUUUGAGUUAAGCUCCUCACCAGGCACUGAAUCAAGUUGCUUCGUGGUUCAGUCGUGUCCAACUCUUUGAGACCCCAUGGACUGCAGCACACCAGGCUUCCCUGUCUUUCACCAUCCCUGGGAGUUUGCUCAGACUCAUGUCCAUUGAGUCGGCAAUGCCAUCCAACCAUCUCAUCCUUGUUCAAGUUGCUUAUGAGCAUCUAACUUCAAGUUUACAUCAACCCUAGAAAUGAGGUAUUAAUAGUUUCCCCACCUUACAUAGCAAGAAGCUGCUUAUCUCAGGUUUGGUAUACAAUGAAUGUAUUCUAUGACUGGGGCUUAUGUAAAUAUCUUGUCCAGACUCACAUAGCUAGUUAUGUUAAGGGUAAAAUUCUCAAGACUUGUACUGUCAGUAAUAGCAUGAUCACCAAUCUAUACUGAGUCUGCCUUCCCGCUAUCUGACUAUCCUCCCCUCUAGAAUGUUACAUAAGAGCUUAUAACUUUUUUCAAAGAACUUCUAAUUCUUAUUAGCCACAUGAAGAACAUGGUGAUAUCAUUCUCAUGGAAUAGAUUAAGGAACCAGAGACUCAGGAAGUUAGGCCACUUUCCCAUCUUCUCACAGUCUGUAACUGUCACUGUGGGAUUUGAACUCAGUCCAACUGAUGCCAAAGCCCAGAAGCGACUUGGGUGAAGCCAGAAAGGUUGCUUCAUUCACAUGGGGUGAGGACUAUCUGAGCUCCAGUCCCCAUUGGUUCAGGUCAUGUCCUUCCAGCUCUCUUCCCCAGUGGAGUGGGUCAUAGUUGCUGGAUGCUUAAAAUGGAUACCCUCUCCUAGUUGCUGGGCUGCCAGGCCAUCAUACUUUCCUUCCUCCUCUGUUAAUCUAAGCAGUAUUACCAUUAACCCCCACAGUUUCUCAUAGAUUUUCAGCAUCCCUCAGAGUCCAGCUACCCUCUGGGAAGUUCUCCCACACUCAGCCUGGUGAUGUCAUGUUUAUUCCUGACUGCACCACUCUUUCAAGUCUAAUUCAGGCCAUUGGCCUAGUGACAGCAGCAGCUCGGACUGGUUUAGGUUAUCUACCUAACACUCCCUAUCCAACAGCUCCAAGAAGGGAGCCUCCCCCUCUGUCUUCUUUAAGAACUGGUCCCAGGGACUUCCUGGUGGUCCAGUGGUUAAAAUUCCCCGUGCUUCCAAUGCAGGGGGCACAGGUUUGAUCCCUGGUUGGGGAACUAAGAUCUCUCAUGCUGUGUGGCAAAAAAAAAAAAAAAAAAAAGAACUGGUCCCAGGACAUAGUGGUCUUUGUUGGGGGAGGCCUCCCACCCCCAUGAUGUCCAUGGCUUAAUCCCUGGGGUCUGGUUAAUAUGUUACAUUACAUGGCAAGGGGGAAUUAAGGUUGCAAAUGAUAUUAAGGUUGUUAGUUAAAAGUCCUUAAAAUAGAGAGGUUAUCCUGGAUUAUCUCGGUUGGUCCAGAGUAAUUACAGGAGUCAAAUGUGGAAGAUGGAAACUCAAGAGUCACUGGCUUUGAAGAUGAAAGAGGGUCAUGAGCCUCAUGAGCCAAGGAAUGCAGGCAGCCCGAAAGCUGGAAAAGACAAGGAAAUGGAUUCUUCCUAGAAAGGAAUGCACUUCUGCCAAUACCUUGAUUUUAGUUAAUGAGACAGAAUUCCAGUCUCCAGAAGUAUAAGAUAAUACAUUUGUAUUGUUUAGAGCCUCUAAGUCUGUGGCAAUUUGUUAGACCAUUAGUGGAAAAUUAAUAUACCUCCCCAUUCUAUUUAUAACUGCCCCUUUCUCCCCCAUGGGGAUCUGAUCACCCUGAGUGGGAGAUGAGAGUGUGAGACCAAGCUCAAGUUGAAGCCUGGGACAAUGAGAAGCCUGUGUUUUAAUGUUCUGACAUACUUGCUGAAAACUGCUGGUCUGGGGCGGAGGGUAGUUUUAAGGAAAAAUGAGAAAAAUAAGAACCAGGCCAAGUUUCUCAGCGUUUAUUCACCUUGAUUCCAGUAACAGCCUCCACAUUUUUAGAGUUCCACACCUUAUCUACUGUUAGGAAAGUGGUUCUGGGGGAGUUGGUUCUAGCCCAUCCUUAAAUUACCUAGGUGAUUUAGGGCUCGAUCAAUCAUCACUGACAUCCCUUUGGCCAUAGUGACUAGUUUACGCUAGCCAUGUGACUCAAUUUGGGCCAAUGGGAACCAAGCCCAGGGCUCUGUUCUCUUAUUGUGUGGAGGGAAGGGCUCUCUCCCCUGGACCGAAAUCUGGAAGAAUGCAGUUCUGGAUCCAAAGGCGAUGCUCUCUCAGCAUGGAAUCGCAGAAGAAGUGGAACCAAAGGUCAGAGGGAGAUAUUGAGUCCUGAUGACAUCGUUUGAAUCCUGGACUUUGAAGUUAUGUGAGCCAUUAAAUUCCUCCCCCCCCCUCAGUUUUUUAGGAUAUAGUUGGUAUACAGCACUGUUUAAGGUGUAGAACAUAAUGAUUUGACUUAAAUUUAUUGUGAAACAAUUACUACAAUAGGUUUGGUCAAUAUCCAUCAUCUCAUAUAGAUACAAAAAAAAUUUUAUUUUCCUUCUGAUGAGAACUCUUAGGGUCUACUCUCUUAACAACUUUCAGAUAUACCAUACAGCAGUGUUAACUUUGGUCAUCAUGUUAUACUUUACCUCCCUAGUAUAUAUUUAUCUUAUAACUGGAAAUCUGUAUAUUUGAUCAGCUUUAUCCAACUUCCC